GGGAGGGUACUGCGGAGACAUUACCUAGAGUUUGUGGGCUUUGCCCGCUACCUC
rnacentral:rRNA from 1 species